UACGGGGGGAGCAAGCGUUGUUCGGAUUUACUGGGCGUAAAGGGCGCGUAGGCGGCCACCGCAAGUCGGUUGUGAAAUCUCCGGGCUUAACCCGGAAAGGUCAAUCGAUACUGCGGGGCUAGAGUGCAGAAGGGGCAACUGGAAUUCUCGGUGUAGCGGUGAAAUGCGUAGAUAUCGAGAGGAACACCUGCGGCGAAGGCGGGUGGCUGGGCUGACACUGACGCUGAAGCGCGAAAGCUAGGGGAGCGAACGGG
rnacentral:rRNA from 1 species